GAUGAACGCUGGCGGCGUGCCUAAUACAUGCAAGUCGAGCGAACGGACGAGAAGCUUGCUUCUCUGAUGUUAGCGGCGGACGGGUGAGUAACACGUGGAUAACCUACCUAUAAGACUGGGAUAACUUCGGGAAACCGUAGCUAAUACCGGAUAAUAUUUUGAACCGCAUGGUUCAAAAGUGAAAGACGUUCUUGCUGUCACUUAUCGAUGGAUCCGCGCUGCAUUAGCUAGUUGGUAAGGUAACGGCUUACCAAGGCAACGAUGCAUAGCCGACCUGAGAGGGGGAUCGGCCACACUGGAACUGAGACACGGUCCAGACUCCGACGGGAGGCAGAAGUAGGGAAUCUUCCGCAAUGGGCGAAAGCCUGACGGGGCAACGCCGCGUGAGUGAUGAAGGUCUUCGGAUCGUAAAACUCUGUUAUUAGGGAAGAACAUAUGUGUAAGUAACUGUGCACAUCUGGACGGUACCUAAGCAGAAAGCCACGGCAAACUACGU
rnacentral:rRNA from 1 species